CAUGAAUUGGGGACCACCUGGCUUGCCCGGCACGGCGCUUGCGCCGAUUUGUCGGUGCAGUCACAACAAACAACUUACGUGUCUAUUCUGCUGCCGCGCGUUCGCCCCUUAUUUUUUAAGGGGUUGUGCGGUUAAACGGGAAUAUCCUCAGCACGUUGUUUACAUUUUUUCACGCGAAAGCUUUGAGGUUACAGUCUCAGGGGGGAGUACGUUCGCAAGAGUGAAAC
rnacentral:rRNA from 1 species